rnacentral:rRNA from 1 species
CACCCACCCCGCCUCCCCUGUCACUAACAGGUGGGCCCUCGCUGACAGAACCCUCUCCAGCGCCUCUCUCUCUUUUCCUCGAGUCACCACCAGAAAGAGCAGCGGCGGCGUCCGGCGGCGCCGCGGCGAGCGCGAAGGAGGACAGGGACGAGCGGCAGGCCGGCGACCAGCAGCACCCCUCUCUUCUCCGUUGGUGAUUCCUCCCCAGGUUGGAAGGAUGAGGAAGGGACUUCAUCCCCAGAUGCAGUGGAUCUCGUACGUGACGCAGAGCGGCAGGCUGAUCAACAUCAUGAUGACCAAGGUGAACCACACCGGCAAAGUGUACCACAUGAGGGCGAAGCGGCAGAUGGCUCAGAGCCUGGGGCAGAUCGCCAAGUUCAAACGCCGAUACGAGCAGGAAGCGCCGGAGGAGAACCAAGACAAGUAGGGCAGUGCUGUUUGCAAAGGAGAUAUGCAUUCUCCUUAGCCUUAAGCUGCAUCAUCAGAUUUUAGUUAAUGAACUUUGUUCAUGGAAUUUUGUUUCCAUUCUCAGGGAUAAUGCUGUUUAAACCUCUGCAAGUUCGUGUCACUUGCAUGUUGGGAUUCUCAGAGCCAUAAAACAAAAGGAAAUUUUGAAGCCAAUUAAUUUCUGUUUCGCAUCAGUUAAUGGUUGGGCAUGACAACGUGUCUUUGAUUUAGUUCUGUUUCUACUGUAUUUCUAGUUUGUUUCAGAACAUGUCUUUGAGAGGUCGACUGGUAUUGGUAUUGUUGCUUGAAAUCCUUGCUGUACUUGAGAGAUCGAUGUGAACAAAGCUCAGCGGUUCUUGUGCUGCUUA